AGUGAACGCUGGCGGCGUGCUUAACACAUGCAAGUCGAACGAUGAAGCUUUAGCUUGCUAGAGCGGAUUAGUGGCGCACGGGUGAGUAAUGUAUAGUUAAUCUGCCCUUUAGAGGGGGAUAACAGUUGGAAACGACUGCUAAUACCCCAUACUCCUUCUAUAUUAAUUAUAGUUGGGAAAGUUUUUUCGCUAAAGGAUGAGACUAUAUGGUAUCAGCUAGUUGGUGAGGUAAUGGCUCACCAAGGCAAUGACACCUAGCUGGUCUGAGAGGAUGAUCAGCCACACUGGAACUGAGACACGGUCCAGACUCCUACGGGUGGCAG
rnacentral:rRNA from 1 species